AGGAGAGCGGAGCAUUUGCCUGUUAGGGUUGAUUGACCAUGUCCCAAAUUUACGAGUCCGAAGCUGAGUGGAGUUGUUUUUCACGUUUGUUUAACAUUUUAGAGAUUACAGUGCGCUUUUACAAACGCUAGAUCCUUACAAAAACCCUAUGAGAAAAAAGUUAAUAGCCAGAGGAACUGGCAUCAAGUACUGACUACCAACAAUACUGCUUCUCCGUUUCACAGCUCCAGUUCCCUUUCCUCUGGAUAGGAAGAUAUAAGCAAAUCACCCUAUGUUUGGGACAAAAUCACCAAGUACACUGUGAGGCUUUGUUGAUAUGUUGAUACUGCCCGUCACAGCUUCCAAUCAACCAAAGUUCAUCAAUGUAACUGCCCUGAAAUGAAAAAAUUCUAAGCAAGGUCAAAAAAAAACAGGAAGUUUCAGCUACCCUUCGCUAGCAUCUUCCAUCACUGGAUUUCCAAUGCUCAUCUCUAGCCACCUGCCGUGUCCUCCCUCAUUCCCAGCCUACAAUGGAUUUCUAGGAAAUCAGGAAAACUGAAACCAGGAAUCUAUUGGGUGACACUGAAGGUACAGCACUGGUUAAAGUUAAGAAAUGACAACAUAACUUUAAGGGACUAAUUAGUUUAACAGAGGUUUCAGUGUAUUUAUUGAGAGUCAAUUUCUUUAGCCAAUGAUGUUGAAAACCCAAGAAAGGAUACAUCAGCAUCCACGUAAGAUUGCAACAACCGGAUUUCUCCUUGUGAGUGACAUUCAUAUAAGGUAACCUAAUGAAAACAAAAACACAGUCAAUUUUAUCUCAAAUAUAGGAGCACAUUCUUCAGCUUUUGAAUGUAUUUUAGCCAUAACUUUAUCUCAAAGAUGUUACAGAAGCUACUGCUUUAAAAUAGCUCCAUUAGAUCUGGCAUUGCUGCAGCUGUGGCUUGGAUUCAGUCCCUGGCCUA